rnacentral:rRNA from 1 species
GACGAACGCUGGCGGCGUGCUUAACACAUGCAAGUCGAACGGAAAGGCCCUGCUUUUGUGGGGUGCUCGAGUGGCGAACGGGGGAGUAACACGUGAGUAACAUGCCCUUGACUGUGGGAUAACUUCAGGAAACAGGGGCUAAUACCGGGGAGGAGCUCCUGCUGCAUGGGGGGGGUUGGAAAGUUUCGGCGGUUGGGGAUGGACUCGCGGCUUAUCAGCUUGUUGGUGGGGUAGGUGCUUACCAAGGCUUUGACGGGUAGCCUGCCUGAGAGGGUGACCGGCCACAUUGGGACUGAGAUACGGCCCAGACUCCUACGUGCGGCAGCAGUGGGGAAUAUUGCGCAAUGGGCGGAAGCCUGAUGCAGCGACGCCGCGUGCGGGAUGACGGCCUUUGGGUUGUAAACCGCUUUCGCCUGUGACGAAGCGUGCGUGACGGUAAUGGGUAAAGAAGCACCGGCUAACUACGUG